CAGCGCCAUGAGUGGCAAUCACAAUUAUUGGGCCUAAAGCGUCCGUAGCCUGUUUGAUCAGUCUUUUGUGAAAUCGUUAGGCUUAACUUAACGGUGUGCAAGAGAUACUGUCGAACUUGGAACCGGGAGGGGUCAGAGGUAUUCUGAGGGGAGCGGUAAAAUGCUAUAAUCCUUGGAAGACCACCUGUGGCGAAAGCGUCUGACUAGAACGGCUUCGACGGUGAGGGACGAAAGCCAGGAGAGCAAACCGGAUUAGAUACCCGAGUAGUCC
rnacentral:rRNA from 1 species